AUUGAACGCUGGCGGCAGGCCUAACACAUGCAAGUCGAGCGGAUGAAGGGAGCUUGCUCCUGGAUUCAGCGGCGGACGGGUGAGUAAUGCCUAGGAAUCUGCCUGGUAGUGGGGGAUAACGUCCGGAAACGGGCGCUAAUACCGCAUACGUCCUGAGGGAGAAAGUGGGGGAUCUUCGGACCUCACGCUAUCAGAUGAGCCUAGGUCGGAUUAGCUAGUUGGUGGGGUAAAGGCCUACCAAGGCGACGAUCCGUAACUGGUCUGAGUGGAUGAUCAGUCACACUAGAACUGAGACAAGGUCCAGACUCCUACGGAAGACAGCAGUUGGGAAUUUUAGACAAUGGGCGGAAACCUGAUCCAGCCAUACCGCGUGUGUGAAGAAGGUCUUCGGAUUGUAAAGCACUUUAAGUUGGGAGGAAGGGCAGUAAGUUAAUACCUUGCUGUUUUGACGGUACCAACAGAAUAAGCACCGGCUAACUUCGUG
rnacentral:rRNA from 1 species